rnacentral:rRNA from 1 species
UAGUGAGUUUGAUCCUGGCUCAGAACGAACGCUGGCGGCAUGCCUAACACAUGCAAGUCGAACGAAGCCUUCGGGCUUAGUGGCGCACGGGUGCGUAACGCGUGGGAAUCUGCCCUCAGGUACGGAAUAACUCAGGGAAACUUGAGCUAAUACCGUAUGAUGACUUCGGUCCAAAGAUUUAUCGCCUGAGGAUGAGCCCGCGUAGGAUUAGCUUGUUGGUGAGGUAAAGGCUCACCAAGGCUACGAUCCUUAGCUGGUCUGAGAGGAUGAUCAGCCACACUGGGACUGAGACACGGCCCAGACUCCUACGGGGAGGCAGCAGUGGGGAAUAUUGGACAAUGGGCGAAAGCCUGAUCCAGCAAUGCCGCGUGAGUGAA